rnacentral:rRNA from 1 species
CCUACGGGCGGCUGCAGUGGGGAAUAUUGCACAAUGGGGGAAACCCUGAUGCAGCAACGCCGCGUGAGUGAGGAAGUAUUUCGGUAUGUAAAGCUCUAUCAGCAGGGAAUAGAAAAGAAGGUACCUGAAAAAGAAGCCCCGGCCAACUACGGGCCAGCAGCAGCGGGAAAACGGGGGGGGCAACGGUUAUCCGGAUUUACUGGGUGUAAAGGGAGGGUAGACGGAAAGGCAAGUCAGAAGUGAAAACCCAAGGCUCAACCAUGGGACUGCUGUUGAAACUGUCAAACGAGAGUACGGGAGAGGUAAGAGGAAUUCGUGGUGUAGCGGUGAAAUGCGUAGAUAUUAGGAGGAACACCAGUGGCGAAGGCGUCUUACUGGACCGAAACUGACGUUGAGGCUCGAAAGCGUGGGGAGCAAACAGGAUUAGAUACCCCAGUAGUC